rnacentral:rRNA from 1 species
UGCCAGCAGCCGCGGUAAUACGGAGGGUGCGAGCGUUAAUCGGAAUUACUGGGCGUAAAGCGCGCGUAGGCGGCUUUGUAAGUCGGAUGUGAAAUCCCCGGGCUUAACCUGGGAACUGCAUUCGAUACUGCAGAACUAGAGUAUGGUAGAGGGAAGUGGAAUUUCCGGUGUAGCGGUGAAAUGCGUAGAUAUCGGAAGGAACACCAGUGGCGAAGGCGGCUUUCUGGACCGAUACUGACGCUGAGACGUGAAAGCGUGGGGAGCAAACAGGAUUAGAUA